CAGGUGUGGUGCAGGUGAGUUUACCUGCCAGGGCCCACUCCCCGGAGCUGUGGGAGUGGCCGCUGUAGUACAGCACACAGGUGUGGUGCAGGUGUGGUGCAGGUGAGUUUACCUGCCAGGGCCCACUCCCCGGAGCUGUGGGAGUACAGCACACAGGUGUGGUGCAGGUGUGGUGCAGGUGAGUUUACCUGCCAGGGCCCACUCCCCGGAGCUGUGGGAGUGGCCGCUGUAGUACAGCACACAGGUGGUGCAGGUGUGGUGCAGGUGAGUUUACCUGCCAGGGCCCACUCCCCGGAGCUGUGGGAGUGGCCGCUGUAGUACAGCACACAGGUGGUGCAGGUGUGGUGCAGGUGAGUUUACCUGCCAGGGCCCACUCCCCGGAGCUGUGGGAGUGGCCGCUGUAGUACAGCACACAGGUGUGGUGCAGGUGAGUUUACCUGCCAGGGCCCACUCCCCGGAGCUGUGGGAGUGGCCGCUGUAGUACAGCACACAGGUGUGGUGCAGGUGAGUUUACCUGCCAGGGCCCACUCCCCGGAGCUGUGGGAGUACAGCACACAGGUGUGGUGCAGGUGUGGUGCAGGUGAGUUUACCUGCCAGGGCCCACUCCCCGGAGCUGUGGGAGUGGCCGCUGUAGUACAGCACACAGGUGUGGUGCAGGUGUGGUGCAGGUGAGUUUACCUGCCAGGGCCCACUCCCCGGAGCUGUGGGAGUGGCCGCUGUAGUACAGCACACAGGUGUGGUGCAGGUGUGGUGCAGGUGAGUUUACCUGCCAGGGCCCACUCCCCGGAGCUGUGGGAGUGGCCGCUGUAGUACAGCACACAGGUGUGGUGCAGGUGAGUUUACCUGCCAGGGCCCACUCCCCGGAGCUGUGGGAGUGGCCGCUGUAGUACAGCACACAGGUGUGGUGCAGGUGUGG